UACGUAGGGGGCAAGCGUUGUCCGGAUUUAUUGGGCGUAAAGAGCGUGUAGGCGGCUAGGUAGGUCCGUUGUGAAAACUCGAGGCUCAACCUCGAGGCGCCGAUGGAAACCAUCUAGCUAGAGUCCGGAAGAGGAGAGUGGAAUUCCUGGUGUAGCGGUGAAAUGCGCAGAUAUCAGGAAGAACACCCGUGGCUAAGGCGGCUCUCUAGUACGGUACUGACGCUGAGACGCGAAAGCGUGGGGAGCGAACAGG
rnacentral:rRNA from 1 species